CCCCGCUCCAUUCCGCCGCAGUUCAGCCCCGAGUCAUGAGGAAGAAGGCGGCGUCCAGGGCUCGUGAUUGCAAAUGAUGGCGCGCAUCCGAGGAGAUUCGGAGCCUCCCAGUUCUAAAUAUGCUUAACCUCGUGACCUCUUUCGCGGAGGAGAUACUCGCGCUCUCGGCACCCGCUCUCCUCUGUCUACAAGAAGGAGAAGGACAACGCAGGCCUACCUUGCAGGGCUGUUGUGAGCAAAACCAUGUGUGUGAAGUGCUUGGAACGCUCUCAACUAAGAACACGGGGAGAGCCGUGCUGGGCCUGGAUCAGGCCAAAGAGGGCCCAGCAUCCUGUUCUCGCAGUGGCCACGCAGAUGCCCCAUGGGGAAGCUCGCAAGCAGGACCUGAAUGCAACAUCAGCUCCCCGCCCCCCCCAUUUUUGAUUCCCAGCAGCAGGCAUUCAGAUACAUACUGCCUCCCAACAGUGGAGGUAACAAGUGAAUAAGAAUACUGUAGUAAUAAUAAUAGUAUUAAUAAUAAUUUUGUAUAUUUAUCUGCAAUCAGGAGGGUCAAAACAAACUACAACUGUGUCACUAUAAUUUGCUUUUAAAUUCUUCUGUUCUUCUUGUUUGUUUCUAUAAGCUGCUCAAAGCAAUAGACAAUAAUUUAAAAACCGGCCAGUAUAAAGCAAGGACUAAUAAGGAAACAGCAACUACUGUACCAUCAUAGAGAAAAGUACAGUGGUACCUCGGGUUACAGACGCUUCAGGUUACAGACUCUGCUAACCCAGAAAUAGUACCUCGGGUUAAGAACUUUGCUUCAGGAUGAGAACAGAAAUCGCACGGCAGUGGAGCGGCAGCAGCAGGAGGCCCCAUUAGCUUAAAGUGGUGCUUCAGGUUAAGAACGGACCUCUGGAACGAAUUAAGUACGUAACCCGAGGUACCACUGUCCAGUGUAAUCCCAUUCCUGUUUCUCAGAACUAAGUUCUAGUCAAUCCACCUCAGUGGCGGCUCCCAGACUUUGGAACUCCCUUCUUAGAGAAACCAGAUUGGCUCCUUUUUCUUCCACCUGCAGGUGAAGACUGUUUUAUUUCUGCAGGGUAUUGGGAACUGGCUGCUUUUAAGAAAAGGUUUUUAAGAGUGCUGUGCUGUUUUUAUCUGUAUUUUAAUGGGUUUGUUUUUAUAUCCAUUUAACUUUGCUGUAUUUUAAAUCCUUUUUAAGCAUCAGCUUUUAUAUAUGUUGUUAGCUUUCUGCGUUUUAUUCAUGUUUGCUUUAAUUUUUGUGAGCCGCCUUGAGUCCUGAUUCUGGGAGAAAGGCGGGAUAUAAAUAAUAAAAUAAUAAUAACAAUUCUGUGGGUCUUUUGGGUAAGUGAGGUUAGGAUUGCAGCCUUUGCCAUAGAGGGCGGAGGGAAUCUUGGAGCUGGAUGGAACUUCAAAGGUUACGUUGUCCAAUCUCUUGCCAGUGCAGGGAAUCCAUGACACCAGCCUCCCUGUUGGGUGGUCUUCCUUAGGCUUUGCUCAACUUCUGAGAAAGAAGAGGGCCACCAUUUUGGUGGUGAAUAAGGGCGAGUUACCCAACCGUUCAUAAGAACAUUAUUUAAUAACCACCUAGGCUUCCGCUCUCUCUCUUUUGAUGACUUGCAGACUAUGUGAGAAUAAAUUAGCACCUGGUCAUGUGGUUUAUUCAUUCAUUGAGAAUGUUAUCUUGAUCACCAAGUACUAAUUGCGUAUUAAUUAGGAAGCAGAGCCAUUUGAGCAAGAGAUUGGGAUGGGCUUUUGUAACGUAUCUGAUAGAAUGUUUUGUAAUGUAUUUGACAGAAUGUAUUUCAUAGAAUUCUUAUUUUGUUUAUGUCUCUGAGGCAAACACUGGCUUGAAAAUCAGCGAGUUCCACUUGAAAAAAAACUUCACUUGCACCUUCUGGUGCCACUUCAAAUGGAUUCUGAAAUGUUAUCAUUUCCUUUCUGUGCUUCUGACAAUCAGUGAUUCUGUUCUGAAACCCCACCUGCAGUAGGUUCCAUCUUUCAACAUGGAAUUGUGAAUUCCCAUUCUCAGAUUUUUGUUUGUUCCUGCAUGAAAAGUUUGAACAGCUAUGUUCACUAACGUGCUUCAUAAAAUAAAAAUUGUUUUGCUUCCAUAGCUUUCAACUCAGAAUAUAUGUCAGACGCAGUAGGCUUUCCUUUUCACUGCAACCUUAUAUUAAAAGCAUUCAGAUGCUCUGUGAUAUCAGGAAAGGCAAAUAAAAAAUCAAUUUGGG